AAAAAUCUUUAGGAAAAUGCAUGAAAAGUACAUUUGAUUGUUUAGUAAAUGAUAAUUGUUUAGAAAAAGCAGUACCACAGCUCGGAGUUUCUCGUUUUCCUCUGUAGUUGCUUCAACUCAGAGCCGAGGAGGGAGUGGAGCCGAGCUGAGAGGGUUGCGGGCACUCGAAGGGUUCGUCUCCCGACUAUUGAUGCACCCGACAAUGGAGAAGAAGAGACGAGAUGGAGAGAAAAUUAGAGUACAGGAGCUGCGGCUUUGUGACCGGCGAACAACAAGUUCUAUGGCCGUUGUUCUUGGGCGGCAGCACUCUACUGGCGGAGCUUCACCUUGGCUGGAGCACGGCCUGAGUUCAGCAGCCAACAGUUGGAACAGCAACAUCCGGCAAACAGCAACUCCUUCCAGCCAACAGUGGAAGGAAACAAUCAGCUUGCCAUAAUUCGCCGGGAGCUGCCCGCACAGGUAUAUUCGUUUUUCAUUGUGUCUUCUAAUUAUUCAUAGUCUCUUCUUGGUGCGAUUGCUUGCAACAUUUAGGUCUUGUUUUUCUUUUGUUAGUUUCUUUGCAUUUAGUGAAUCAUAGCGACUAGAGAUAAAAGUGACGAGACGUGUAAAUUGUUAAAAUAAGACUUGAAUCAAUGGUGGCUUCCACUAGGUUAAAGUCCAUUGAGUAAAUAUUAAGAAAUUCAACAUUUAAAAAAAACAUGAGCAGAGAGAGGUCUCACCCAUUGAAAAUCAUAGAUGUCGUCCUUACGAAACAUCAUGAAAUCGUCCGUCGUCCCACUGAAAUAUCAUGAUAUCGUCCCAUCCAUUGAAAAUCACAGGCGUCGAUCCUUUCCACUGAAUUCAUACAAAGGAAAAAAGACUCUUCCUGUAUAUUUUUUCUCUGUCCAAAAAGGCUUUCCAGUGAAGUCGUGGGCAUCCCACUGAAGUCGUUGCUAUGAAUUCACUCAAAGGAUAUCUAACCUACUCCCGCUAAAGAUAGGUUAGAUAUUUUUGCUCUUUGUAGAAACAGAUUCCUGUUUCUUGAUCUUUGUAGAAACAGAUUCCUGUUUCUUGAUAGGUUAGAUAUUUUUGCUCUUGUAGAAAUAGACUCUCCGCUUUCGAAGACUUUCCAAAUCAAGAAACAAGAGUUUGUUUCUACAAGGAGCAAAAAUAUCUAACCUAUCUUCACUAGGGAGUAGGUUAGAUAUCCUUUGAGUGAAUCCAUAGCGACGACUUCAGCGGGAUGCCUGCGACUUCACUGGAAAGCCUUCGGACGGAGAAAAAAAAUAUAUAGGGGGGGUCUUUUCCUUUGUGUGAAUUUAGUGGGAAGGACCGACGCAUGUGAUUUUUAGUGGGUGGGAUGAUAUCAUGAUGUUUCAAUGGGAUGACCGGACGACUUCAUGAUGUUUCAGGGGGACGACACCUGCGAUUUUCAAUGGGUGAAACCCCUUUGCUCAUUUUUUUUUUAAUGUUGGAUUUUUUGACAUUUACUCAAUGGACUUUAACCUAAUGGAAGCCAGCAUUCGUCCUUCCCUACGCAUCCAACUCUUGUUUUAACAAUUUACACAUCUCGUCACUCUUAAGCAAGCCAUCAUACCAGAGAUUAUGAAUAAUUAGAAGACAAUGAAAAACGAAUAACAGGACUGCCAAAUCCCUUGCCUCCGAUCGUAUGUGCUCCAGAUAAUGCAACUAGUUCUCGUGGCCAACAACCUUGCAUAUUUAUUUCAGCAAAAUAUAAACAUUUUCAUAUUUAUGAUUCAAGGAUGAGAAUAAUGAAUUUUGCAUCUAAGCAUAACAA